UGUUUAGGGAGAAAGAUCUUUGCCUUAUUUUAAGUAAGAUCAAAGAUCACCUGUGUAUGUCAAAAGGGAAACAGCCCAGAACAAAAGUUAAGGUUCCAAAAUUAUUGUUAAGUGAAAUUAAGAAGGUUUUUAUUUGAGUCGACAAGGAGAUGGGCUUAGAAGCAGCCAUAAUUUGAAGACCUCGUAACAGAGCGCUCGUUAAAUCUUUAAAAGCAUCGAAAAUUUAACGGAUCUAAACAAUAUACCGAAACUUUGUCCUCAUUUAAACAUAAUUUUUUAUUAUUGUUAUUUGCAGGGGUAGCAGAACGUUGGGUUAUAUUAGAUUUGGUAUUUUUUAAAUUCAAAUAAAAAAACUCAAGUG
rnacentral:ncRNA from 1 species